GACGAACCGUCCAAACGUUAUUCGGAAUCACUGGGCUUACAGAGUUCGUAGGCGGUCUGGAAAGUUGGGUGUGAAAUCCCUCGGCUCAACCGAGGAACUGCGCUUGAAACUACCAGACUCGAGGGAGAUAGAGGAAAGCGGAACUGAUGGUGUAGCGGUGAAAUGCGUAGAUAUCGGGAGGAACACCUGUGGCGAAGGCGGCUCUCUGGGACGGUACUGACGCUGAGACGCGAAAGCGUGGGGAGCGAACAGG
rnacentral:rRNA from 1 species